rnacentral:rRNA from 1 species
UACGUAGGGCGCGAACGUUGUCCGGAAUUAUUGGGCGUAAAGAGCUCGUAGGUGGCUUGUUGCGUCUGCCGUGAAAGCCCGUGGCUUAACUACGGGUCUGCGGUGGAUACGGGCAGGCUAGAGGCUGGUAGGGGCAAGCGGAAUUCCUGGUGUAGCGGUGAAAUGCGCAGAUAUCAGGAGGAACACCGGUGGCGAAGGCGGCUUGCUGGGCCAGUUCUGACGCUGAGGAGCGAAAGCGUGGGGAGCGAACAGG